rnacentral:rRNA from 1 species
UACGGAGGGUGCUAGCGUUGUUCGGAAUUACUGGGCGUAAAGCGCACGUAGGCGGCUUUGUAAGUUAGAGGUGAAAGCCCGGGGCUCAACUCCGGAACUGCCUUUAAGACUGCAUCGCUUGAAUCCAGGAGAGGUGAGUGGAAUUCCGAGUGUAGAGGUGAAAUUCGUAGAUAUUCGGAGGAACACCAGUGGCGAAGGCGGCUCACUGGCUCGAUACUGACGCUGAGGUGCGAAAGCGUGGGGAGCAAACAGG